GGUCUUGGCGCCCCGACCUUCGGGGGCUGAAUUUUGGGCGCGGGUGUGCCCGUGGCCUAUUUUUGGCACACGGAGGCCGCCCGCAAAGUCUGGGGCCCCAAGGCUAUAGCCCACCCGUUUUUUGGCCAUUUUUCCGCUGGGGGGUCUUGGCGCCCCGACCUUCGGGGGCUGAAUUUUGGGCGCGGGUGUGCCCGUGGCCUAUUUUUGGCACACGGAGGCCGCCCGCAAAGUCUGGGGCCAUUCCGAGUCCGGCGGACGAACUUCGCCCACGCCCCCCACCAAGGCUAUAGCCCACCCGUUUUUUGCCCAUUUUUCCGCUGGGGGGUCUUGGCGCCCCGACCUUCGGGGGCUGAUUUUUGGGCGCGGGUGUGCCCGUGGCCUAUUUUUGGCACACGGAGGCCGCCCGCAAAGUCUGGGGCCAUUGCGAGUCCGGCGGACGAACUUCGCCCACGCCCCCCACCAAGGCUAUAGCCCACCCGUUUUUUGGCCAUUUUUCCGCUGGGGGUUCUUGGCGCCCCGACCUUCGGGGGCUGAAUUUUGGGCGCGGGUGUGCCCGUGGCCUAUUUUUGGCACACGGAGGCCGCCCGCAAAGUCUGGGGCCAUUCCGAGUCCGGCGGACGAGCUUCGCCCACGCCCCCCACCAAGGCUAUAGCCCACCCGUUUUUUGGCCAUUUUUCCGCUGGGGGGUCUUGGCGCCCCGACCUUCGGGGGCUGAUUUUUGGGCGCGGGUGUGCCCGUGGCCUAUUUUUUGCACACGGAGGCCGCCCGCAAAGUCUGGGGCCAUUCCGAGUCCGGCGGACGAACUUCGCCCACGCCCCCCACCAAGGCUAUAGCCCACCCGUUUUUUGGCCAUUUUUCCGCUGGGGGGUCUUGGCGCCCCGACCUUCGGGGGCUGAUUUUUGGGCGCGGGUGUGCCCGUGGCCUAUUUUUUGCACACGGAGGCCGCCCGCAAAGUCUGGGGCCAUUCCGAGUCCGGCGGACGAACUUCGCCCACGCCCCCCACCAAGGCUAUAGCCCACCCGUUUUUUGGCCAUUUUUCCGCUGGGGGGUCUUGGCGCCCCGACCUUCGGGGGCUGAAUUUUGGGCGCGGGUGUGCCCGUGGCCUAUUUUUGGCACACGGAGGCCGCCCGCAAAGUCUGGGGCCAUUCCGAGUCCGGCGGACGAACUUCGCCCACGCCCCCCACCAAGGCUAUAGCCCACCCGUUUUUUGGCCAUUUUUCCGCUGGGGGGUCUUGGCGCCCCGACCUUCGGGGGCUGAAUUUUGGGCGCGGGUGUGCCCGUGGCCUAUUUUUGGCACACGGAGGCCGCCCGCAAAGUCUGGGGCCAUUCCGAGUCCGGCGGACGAACUUCGCCCACGCCCCCAACCAAGGCUAUAGCCCACCCGUUUUUUGGCCAUUUUUCCGCUGGGGGGUCUUGGCGCCCCGACCUUCGGGGGCUGAUUUUUGGGCGCGGGUGCGCCCGUGGCCUAUUUUUUGCACACGGAGGCCGCCCGCAAAGUCUGGCGCCAUUCCGAGUCCGGCGGACGAACUUCGCCCACGCCCCCCACCAAGGCUAUAGCCCACCCGUUUUUUGGCCAUUUUUCCGCUGGGGGGUCUUGGCUCCCCGACCUUCGGGGGCUGAUUUUUGGGCGCGGGUGUGCCCGUGGCCUAUUUUUGGCACACGGAGGCCGCCCGCAAAGUCUGGGGCCAUUCCGAGUCCGGCGGACGAACUUCGCCCACGCCCCCCACCAAGGCUAUAGCCCACCCGUUUUUUGGCCAUUUUUCCGCUGGGGGGUCUUGGCGCCCCGACCUUCGGGGGCUGAAUUUUGGGCGCGGGUGUGCCCGUGGCCUAUUUUUGGCACACUGAGGCCGCCCGCAAAGUCUGGGGCCAUUCCUAGUCCGGCGGACGAACUUCGCCCACGCCCCCCACCAAGGCUAUAGCCCACCCGUUUUUUGGCCAUUUUUCCGCUGGGGGGUCAUGGCGCCCCGACCUUCGGGGGCUGAAUUUUGGGCGCGGGUGUGCCCGUGGCCUAUUUUUGGCACACGGAGGCCGCCCGCAAAGUCUGGGGCCAUUGCGAGUCCGGCGGACGAACUUCGCCCACGCCCCCCACCAAGGCUAUAGCCCACCCGUUUUUUGGCCAUUUUUCCGCUGGGGGGUCUUGGCGCCCCGACCUUCGGGGGCUGAAUUUUGGGCGCGGGUGUGCCCGUGGCCUAUUUUUGGCACACGGAGGCCGCCCGCAAAGUCUGGGGCCAUUCCGAGUCCGGCGGACGAACUUCGCCCACGCCCCCCACCAAGGCUAUAGCCCACCCGUUUUUUGGCCAUUUUUCCGCUGGGGGGUCUUGGCGCCCCGACCUUCGGGGGCUGAAUUUUGGGCGCGGGUGUGCCCGUGGCCUAUUUUUGGCACACGGAGGCCGCCCGCAAAGUCUGGGGCCAUUCCGAGUCCGGCGGACGAACUUCGCCCACGCCCCCCACCAAGGCUAUAGCCCACCCGUUUUUUGGCCAUUUUUCCGCUGGGGGGUCUUGGCGCCCCGACCUUACGGGGCUGAAUUUUGGGCGCGGGUGUGCCCGUGGCCUAUUUUUGGCACACGGAGGCCGCCCGCAAAGUCUGGGGCCAUUCCGAGUCCGGCGGACGAACUUCGCCCACGCCCCCCACCAAGGCUAUAGCCCACCCGUUUUUUGGCCAUUUUUCCGCUGGGGGGUCUUGGCGCCCCGACCUUCGGGGGCUGAUUUUUGGGCGCGGGUGUGCCCGUGGCCUAUUUUUGGCACACGGAGGCCGCCCGCAAAGUCUGGGGCCAUUCCGAGUCCGGCGGACGAACUUCGCCCACGCCCCCCACCAAGGCUAUAGCCCACCCGUUUUUUGGCCAUUUUUCCGCUGGGGGGUCUUGGCGCCCCGACCUUCGGGGGCUGAUUUUUGGGCGCGGGUGUGCCCGUGGCCUAUUUUUGGCACACGGAGGCCGCCCGCAAAGUCUGGGGCCAUUCCGAGUCCGGCGGACGAACUUCGCCCACGCCCCCCACCAAGGCUAUAGCCCACCCGUUUUUUGGCCAUUUUUCCGCUGGGGGGUCUUGGCGCCCCGACCUUCGGGGGCUGAUUUUUGGGCGCGGGUGUGCCCGUGGCCUAUUUUUGGCACACGGAGGCCGCCCGCAAAGUCUGGGGCCAUUGCGAGUCCGGCGGACGAACUUCGCCCACGCCCCCCACCAAGGCUAUAGCCCACCCGUUUUUUGGCCAUUUUUCCGCUGGGGGGUCUUGGCGCCCCGACCUUCCGGGGCUGAAUUUUGGGCGCGGGUGUGCCCGUGGCCUAUUUUUGGCACACGGAGGCCGCCCGCAAAGUCUGGGGCCAUUCCGAGUCCGGCGGACGAACUUCGCCCACGCCCCCCACCAAGGCUAUAGCCCACCCGUUUUUUGGCCAUUUUUCCGCUGGGGGGUCUUGGCGCCCCGACCUUCGGGGGCUGAAUUUUGGCUGCGGGUGUGCCCGUGGCCUAUUUUUGGCACACGGAGGCCGCCAACAAAGUCUGGGGCCCCAAGGCUAUAGCCCACCCGUUUUUUGGCCAUUUUUCCGCUGGGGGGUCUUGGCGCCCCGACCUUCGGGGGCUGAUUUUUGGGCGCGGGUGUGCCCGUGGCCUAUUUUUGGCACACGGAGGCCGCCCGCAAAGUCUGGGGCCAUUCCGAGUCCGGCGGACGAACUUCGCCCACGCCCCCCACCAAGGCUAUAGCCCACCCGUUUUUUGGCCAUUUUUCCGCUGGGGGGUCUUGGCGCCCCGACCUUCGGGGGCUGAAUUUUGGGCGCGGGUGUGCCCGUGGCCUAUUUUUGGCACACGGAGGCCGCCCGCAAAGUCUGGGGCCAUUCCGAGUCCGGCGGACGAACUUCGCCCACGCCCCCCACCAAGGCUAUAGCCCACCCGUUUUUUGGCCAUUUUUCCGCUGGGGUGUCUUGGCGCCCCGACCUUCGGGGGCUGAAUUUUGGGCGCGGGUGUGCCCGUGGCCUAUUUUUGGCACACGGAGGCCGCCCGCAAAGUCUGGGGCCAUUCCGAGUCCGGCGGACGAACUUCGCCCACGCCCCCCACCAAGGCUAUAGCCCACCCGUUUUUUGGCCAUUUUUCCGCUUGGGGGUCUUGGCGCCCCGACCUUCGGGGGCUGAUUUUUGGGCGCGGGUGUGCCCGUGGCCUAUUUUUGGCACACGGAGGCCGCCCGCAAAGUCUGGGGCCAUUCCGAGUCCGGCGGACGAACUUCGCCCACGCCCCCCACCAAGGCUAUAGCCCACCCGUUUUUUGGCCAUUUUUCCGCUGGGGGGUCUUGGCGCCCCGACCUUCGGGGGCUGAUUUUUGGGCGCGGGUGUGCCCGUGGCCUAUUUUUGGCACACGGAGGCCGCCCGCAAAGUCUGGGGCCAUUGCGAGUCCGGCGGACGAACUUCGCCCACGCCCCCCACCAAGGCUAUAGCCCACCCGUUUUUUGGCCAUUUUUCCGCUGGGGGGUCUUGGCUCCCCGACCUUCGGGGGCUGAUUUUUGGGCGCGGGUGUGCCCGUGGCCUAUUUUUGGCACACGGAGGCCGCCCGCAAAGUCUGGGGCCAUUCCGAGUCCGGCGGACGAACUUCGCCCACGCCCCCCACCAAGGCUAUAGCCCACCCGUUUUUUGGCCAUUUUUCCGCUGGGGGGUCUUGGCGCCCCGACCUUCGGGGGCUGAAUUUUGGGCGCGGGUGUGCCCGUGGCCUAUUUUUGGCACACGGAGGCCGCCCGCAAAGUCUGGGGCCAUUCCGAGUCCGGCGGACGAACUUCGCCCACGCCCCCCACCAAGGCUAUAGCCCACCCGUUUUUUGGCCAUUUUUCCGCUGGGGGGUCUUGGCGCCCCGACCUUCGGGGGCUGAAUUUUGGGCGCGGGUGUGCCCGUGGCCUAUUUUUGGCACACGGAGGCCGCCCGCAAAGUCUGGGGCCAUUCCGAGUCCGGCGGACGAACUUCGCCCACGCCCCCCACCAAGGCUAUAGCCCACCCGUUUUUUGGCCAUUUUUCCGCUGGGGGGUCUUGGUGCCCCGACCUUCGGGGGCUGAUUUUUGGGCGCGGGUGUGCCCGUGGCCUAUUUUUGGCACACGGAGGCCGCCCGCAAAGUCUGGGGCCAUUCCGAGUCCGGCGGACGAGCUUCGCCCAUGCCCCCCCACCAAGGCUAUAGCCCACCCGUUUUUUGGCCAUUUUUCCGCUGGGGGGUCUUGGCGCCCCGACCUUCGGGAGCUGAUUUUUGGGCGCGGGUGUGCCCGUGGCCUAUUUUUUGCACACGGAGGCCGCCCGCAAAGUCUGGGGCCAUUCCGAGUCCGGCGGACGAACUUCGCCCACGCCCCCCACCAAGGCUAUAGCCCACCCGUUUUUUGGCCAUUUUUCCGCUGGGGGGUCUUGACUCCCCGACCUUCGGGGGCUGAUUUUUGGGCGCGGGUGUGCCCGUGGCCUAUUUUUGGCACACGGAGGCCGCCCGCAAAGUCUGGGGCCAUUCCGAGU
rnacentral:lncRNA from 1 species